CAGAAACCUGGAGGAGCUCCUAAACUCCUAAUUUACUGGGCUAACGCACUUCAGUCUGGGAUUCCAUCUAGAUUCAGUGGCAGUGGAUCUGGGAGUGACUUCACUCUGGACUCCAUCAGUGGAGUCCAGACUGAAGAUGCAGGAGAUUACUACUGUCAGAGUAUACACUAUCCAAACAGUGUCUGAGUGUUCACACAGUGAUACAGAGCCGUACAAAAACCUCCCUCAGUCAGACUGCACAGUGACUGAACUGUUACAGCUGGGACCUACUGCAAAUUAGAAAAAAUUAAUAGAUCACGUUCUCCAUCAUCAUCAGUCAUCAUCCAUUAAUCUUCUACAUUAUUAUGCUACACAAUUCCCAACCCCCACUCCAGCAAUUUACUUUAUCAUGUUUAGCCAAUCACCAUGGUGUGUGGGUGUUUGUUGGGUGCAGGCUUAUAAAAACAACAAGCCAAAUAUUCAGGAGCAAUGCUCAUAAUGAAGUUUCUUUGGAGUAACAAAAAUGCCCCUUCUUGGGAUAAUAUUGGUGCAGGAGGACCCAGGAUUCUUAUCUGGAGCCUGGCAGAUUAAACAACGACCUGCAGGUGCCAGGAGGUUGAUCAAACCCAGGUGUGUUGUGGGUAGAAAGGUGUUCAAAAGGUCAGUGCUUUGUCUCUAUCUGCUGGCCACAUUCCAUCCCUGUAUUGUCCCAUGGCUCCAUAUGUCACACGUUAUACUUUAAACACUACACACAAUACAAAAUGCAUUGCAGUUUAAUGUUGCUAGGAAUGACCACGUGGGGUAAACAUCAAAAGG